rnacentral:lncRNA from 1 species
CGGAGCUGUUCCUAUUCGGCCAUCUUGGCUCCUCCUUAUUUGGCCUUUUCAAGAUAAAAUCCCUGGAGAUUAUAUAUGAAACAACCACAAGAAGACAGAAAGGUGAAAAGAAAAAGGCAGACAAGAUAGAGACCUCAGGACCAAGGAAUGGCAUUGUGCCAAGAGGAAAUAGUCUCCAAUCAAUAACUUAAACUCCCACCUCAAGAAACAAGAAAAAGAAGAGCAAAAUAAAUCCAAAGCAAGCAUAAGGAUGGAAAUAAUAAAGGAAAAAAAUCUUCCAUGUCCUUGAGCCAGUUACCAGAGAAGAGCAGAAAUCCAGGGAGGACAAGGGAUUGACCUGGGUAGUAUUGAGCUGGAAGGUAAAAGCAAUGAACAAAAAGAGGUUCAGAUUCCUUAUUUUGGAGCGACAGUGUCAACAAGAAACAUCUGCCAAACCACAAGGACCAUGUAGAAGCUGGUGUCCCAGGAGGAGAUCUUCAGCAUUUCACCCAUCUCCCCCAAUUAUUUCUCCUGGAAAGACUGAGGCAUUUAGCUUCUUGGACUUCUCUCCAUAUAAAUGGCCACUCAUGGGCCAACUAACUGUGUGGUGUUCAAGACAAACAAUAUACAUCAUGUAAUAAAGAAUCAUUCUCCCCUGAGGGAAUCUGAGACUAAUUGAAAGGUUACUGUGUAAUAGGCUCCAUUUUCUUAAUCAUAUCUUGUGUUUGUGCAAAUGUUAAAAAAAAAGCCUCCCACCAAUGUAUUUUUAUCCAAAUGCUGCUCAAUUCUAUUAUAAUAAUUUUAUUGUCCUAACAUCCCUGUGAAAUCAGUAAACCAGUGAUGGAACAAACAGCUCUGCGUUGGUUUGAAUCAGGCACUAUGUUCAGGUUCCCAAAUUAGAAGGAGCAGUGGUCAGAUUGUCUGAAGAGAUGGACACUGGCCGUGGCACUAACUGGUUAUCUAACCAUUGUCUAAUAAUGGUCCUCAUUUCCUCUUUUGUAAAUCAAGAGAUUGGAGAGACAAUUUGCAGAAGUUUUUUUCCACUUCUAAGAUUCAAUGAGUCAAAGUUUGGAGACUUAUUUCAGAGGCAACCAGCUAUGUACAAAAUAUAGCAUUACAAAAUAGAAAAUAUGUUGGCUUUGUAGCAAAAAUACUUGGGCCUGAAUCUUGGAUUUACCACUAACUAGUAGUGUUACUUUGGCCGAGUCACCCUCUCUAAUCCUCACCUUUCCUCUAUAAAAUGGAAAUAAAAAGCCCUUAUAUGCUUAUUGCGAUGAUUAAAUAAGAAAACAUACAUAAAGCAAAUGGCAUGUGACGGAUUCUCAAUAAAUGGUAGCCACACUUAACUGCUUCAUAGGCCAACUGGAGCAUUGUCUCCAGAACAUAUUUGUACAUUUCUUACCUAUAAAUAUUCUUUCUAUAUCUAAAAAUAAACAUGGAUCUUCUCCACUUUUUCAAUUAAAGAAUGGAUUAUCAAGAGUGUAAUUACUAUAUUAACAACUCGAUUUUACAUAUGAGGAAAAUGAAGUUUAUAUGACUAGUCCGAAGUCACACAGAGAGUUAAUGACAGAGCUGUCUAGGAUCCAGGUCAUCAAAUCCCAGGAUGGUAUAUUUUACACACCCAACUGAUACUCUUUCCAAUAGGCCAUGUUGCUAUUAACAGUUUGUGGUGUCAGACAAAAAUAAUAAUGAUUUUUAUACACUAUAUUAGCUAAGUCUAUUAAGAACAGAAAAACAGAAUACUGGAAAUCUGAGUAACUCAAGCUAAAACACUUUUUCUAAAUUUCAAGACAAAAUAACUAAACAAACAGAAACAUUUGAGUAAUCGAGGGAGCAGCAAGACAGAUGAAUGUCACUAUUUGUCUCCCCAUAUCUACCUUUGUCUCCCUUCAAGUUAGUCUGAUCAUCUGAAUGAAGGGUACCACUGUUUAGCCAGAAACCUACAAGAAAUCCUUAAUAGCUUUAUAUCUCCUUCUAUUUCACCUCCUCCCUUACCUAAAUGUAACCAAGUCCUUCUAAUUCUAUCUUCUAAAUUCCUCUUAAUUCUGGUCAAUUCUUUGUACCUCGCUUUAACAGGUCAUAAUCUUUUCUCACCUGGACUACUACAACAACCUGUUACUUCGUCUCCAUUUUUUGGCUGUUCUUACUACCUAAAAAUCAAUUAUGUAUAGCUAGUUGAUCUUUUUAGAUGUAAACAAGAAUAUGUACCAAAACUUGAAAUUUUAUGUAGUAAAAUUUUAUUUGUGUAACUUGUCUUGUACACCACUUUUCUUCGAGUUGCUAAUUAUCUCAUUUUUAUUUGACUAACUUGCUAUAUGUAUAUAUCUAUUUUUCCACAAAUGCUAUCAGAUGUUAUGACUACAAAUAUAUUUUUCAAAAUAAUAAAAUAUGCAAAAUUAAUUUAUUCAAAAACU